AUUGUUCCUCAGCCUUUCGGCUAAGAUCUAGUAUCUGUUCUCAUCAGUUAAAUAUCUGAUAUGUCCUCUACCCGAGGACAAUAUAUUAAAUGGAUUUUUGGGACAGGGAGUUGGAAUCUGUUUAUAUUCCUACAUGGAAAGAUGAUAUUUGUAUCUCAUGAGACCUUUGUCAUGAUUA
rnacentral:snRNA from 1 species